UGUACACGUAUAUGCUGUUGCUACUUUGAAAGUUAGAUUAUAAUUGCAACUUUUCAGUGUAAUGUCUACCGGCAUUCCCAUUAGAUUCGUUGUUUCCCAUUUUUAACAGUCAUUAGUGAUGCAUUCAUUGUUUAAUUAUUUUGACAUUAUAAUGCAUGUACUGUACGUGUGUGCAUUGCCUGUUUUAAUCAGCCUAUGAAAUGAGGAACAUACAUAAUUACGGAAACAGUCUUGCAUGCACGUAUUAAUUAGCAUUAAAAGUACGGCCAACUGAACUAUUAGGCACUGAUUGUUGUUGGUUUUGCACCGUGCAGUGCGAAUGACACUAUACGUGUGCGUAGACUAUUAAUGAUAUUGUUUUAAGUUGCUGUUUGUGUUUAGUGCUAACAGUGAAUGGUGGGCUGAGUUGCGCAAAGAAGAAGACGAGAGAAUUGCAGGAACUAUCGGGACAGGAUAAGUAAAAGGUGUUAUUGACACGACAGUCGGACGUGUACACUUUGAGACCCGAUAAAACUGUGCUGAUUACGGUAGUCUCGACCUUUUCAGUUAUUAAUGCCAAAAGCCUUCGACUCUUGUCGAUGCACGUUUAUAAUGCAUGUGGUAUGCUUGCAUGUACCGGUCCCGCCUGAUUGUAGAAGCGUCCUUAUUUUAGAGGGUUCUGCAGGUGUGUACGUGCAUGCAUGUUGUACCUGCAUGCAUACGUGAACAUUUAAUGUGCAUGUACAUGACUGGCAACAUUGCGUACUGUAUUCAUGCAAGCAUCCAUCAUGUGCGCAUAAUGAACAAGAGGUAAUGUGAUCUUCUGCAUGUACGUGUGCAUGUGUGCAGGCAUGUAAGUGUAUGUGACGUCAGUACUUGUAGCAAUUAAUACGUGCACACGUGUGUCUGUGUAUAAAUAUUAUAAUCAUGUACAUGUAUAGCAUCAUCCUAUUCACUAUAGGCAAAAGAAAGGAGAGAGGGUGUAGGUAGUGAUGCACCAGUUAGCGAUGACACGCUUACGGCUGCAUCAGGCUAUCAUGCUGUUGCUCCUAAUGCCGACAGUUCGAGAAUGUCAGAGAAGAGAAAGCAGCUCAUUGCCAAUAGUAAAUAUCUCGGCGGCGAUAUAGAGCACACUCAUCUCGUCAAAGGAUUAGACUAUGCACUCUUGCAGAAGGUUCAUAGUGAAAUGGUGGUCCGUGAUCAAGAAGCUGAAAAGAUUAAGAAUUACGAGAGAAAGAAAAGGAAAAGAAGAGAUCUAUCAGUGCAUGUGAGGAGGGAUCAAUCAAGUCAAAACUAGCAAAAAAAGAUACAUUCUAUUGUCUUUCAAGCAAAUGCCCCGGAAAAGAACGAAUUCUUUCUACCAGGAAGAAUGUUCGAGAAUGUCAGAGAAGAGAAAGCAGCUCAUUGCCAAUGGUAAAUAUCUCGGUGGCGAUAUGGAGCACACUCAUCUCGUCAAAGGAUUAGACUAUACGCUCUUACA